GAUGAACGCUGGCGGCGUGCCUAAUACAUGCAAGUCGAACGGUACUCUUUCGGGAGUACAGUGGCGAACGGGUGAGUAAUACAUAAGGAACCUGCCCUCGGGACCGGGAUAGCUGAUGGAAACGUCAGGUAAUAGCGAUGUGAGUCAUUAUGGCAUCAUGAUGACUUGAAAGGAUGCAGCAAUGCAUCGCGCGGGGAGUGGCCUUAUGGCGGCAUUAGCCAGUUGGCGGGGUAACGGCCCACCAAAGCGAUGAUGCGUAGCCGAUCUGAGAGGACGACCGGCCACAUUGGGACUGAGACACGGCCCAGACUCCUACGGGAGGCAGCAGUAGGGAA
rnacentral:rRNA from 1 species